UGUCAGGAUGGCCGAGUGGUCUAAGGCGCCAGACUCAAGUUCUGGUCUUCGAGAGAGGGCGUGGGUUCAAAUCCCACUUCUGACAGA
rnacentral:tRNA from 1 species